rnacentral:rRNA from 1 species
UGGGGAAUAUUGAACAAUGGGCGCAAGCUUGAUGCAGCAAUGCCCCGUGUGUGAAGAAGGCCUUCGGGUUGUAAAGCACUUUUAGCGGGGAGGAAGGCGAUAAGGUUAAUAACCUUGUCGAUUGACGUUACCCGCAGAAGAAGCACCGGCUAACUCGGUGCCAGCAGCUGCGGUAAUACGGAGGGUGCAAGCGUUAAUCGGAAUUACUGGGCGUAAAGCGAACGCAGGCGGUCUGUCAAGUCGGAUGUGAAAUCCCCGGGCUCAACCUGGGAACUGCAUUCGAAACUGGCAGGCUAGAGUCUUGUAGAGGGGGGUAGAAUUCCAGGUGUAGCGGUGAAAUGCGUAGAGAUCUGGAGGAAUACCGGUGGCGAAGGCGGCCCCCUGGACAAAGACUGACGCUCAGGUGCGAAAGCGUGGGGAGCAAACAGG